UCGUAGUUAUGGAUUUCGAUGAAUAAUUCUCGUGAGGUUCGCGAUUUGAUACAUUCCGCAGCGUACGAUCCGAAUCAUGGAUACUUCGUUCAGCGGUAACGGUCGGUUGGAGUUAUGGAACAGAGCAUCACGUUCAAUCAGCUUGAAGCCUUGGUAUGCCCAUGGGAUUGCUGAAGCAAUCAUGCGUACUGCCAAUCUUUCUAUUCCACUGAAAGAGACGUGGAAGAGCAGCCGUGUUGGGUAAUUAUGCUUGAGGUUCUGGACAAUCUUCCAUUAUCUUAUGUACUCACAAAAUCAAGUUUCCUCUUGGAUGGAAGUAUGGGUGGAAAAGCAAGUUGAUAGGAAGACAGUAACAGAAUUAGAUGGUUAGGACCUAAAUGGGGAUAUGAUCAUCGAGUGGGCUGCAAACGCUGAAGAGCGGUUUGGAAGUUUUCUUUUAUGGCUCUAUGGACAACGAUUAUUGUGGUAAAAGUCGUAAUUUUUCUCAACAACAUGUGAAGCGUUUUAAAAUCGGAUAAGAAUAUAAAAACUUAUCCCUAGCAGAUGCGUUUUUCAAAUCGUAAAGUUGAGUAGACAAGGGCUUCGCUGUCGUAAUUCCUGAGAAAUU